CAAGAGUCUAAACAUGGCAACGGGCACUAAAAUAAGGUUUAACAACUAAUUAUCAUUCAACAGGACAUGUACAAUUUGUGGCUAAGAAUACCUCUUUAUUAAACAUCAAACCUACUGUGUCAACUUCUAUGAAGAGCAAAGAAGAUAGUCUUCUCUGGGGUGAAGUUGCUCUCAGAUAAAUUUCCAAACUUUGUUCAGAUUUUCAGAAAAAACAAAACAGAAAAAAAAGAUUGUAACAACUUCUAUGGAUAGUAUG
rnacentral:lncRNA from 1 species